rnacentral:rRNA from 1 species
AGUGAACGCUGGCGGUUGGCCUAACACAUGCAAGUCGAACGGCAGCACAGUAAGAGCUUGCUCUUACGGGUGGCGAGUGGCGGACGGGUGAGGAAUACAUCGGAAUCUACUUUUUCGUGGGGGAUAACGUAGGGAAACUUACGCUAAUACCGCAUACGACCUACGGGUGAAAGCAGGGGAUCUUCGGACCUUGCGCGAUUGAAUGAGCCGAUGUCGGAUUAGCUAGUUGGCGGGGUAAAGGCCCACCAAGGCGACGAUCCGUAGCUGGUCUGAGAGGAUGUUCAGCCACACUGGAACUGAGACACGGUCCAGACUCCUACGGGAGGCAGCAGUGGGGAAUAUUGGACAAUGGGCGCAAGCCUGAUCCAGCCAUACCGCGUGGGUGAAGAAGGCCUUCGGGUUGUAAAGCCCUUUUGUUGGGAAAGAAAAGCAGCAGGUUAAUACCCCGCUGUUCUGACGGUACCCAAAGAAUAAGCACCGGCUAACUUCGUG